rnacentral:rRNA from 1 species
UACGGAGGGUGCGAGCGUUGUCCGGAAUCAUUGGGCGUAAAGGGCGCGUAGGUGGCCCGGUCAGUCUUUGGUGAAAGCGCGGGGCUCAACCCUGCGUCGGCCAGGGAUACUGCCGCGGCUCGAGCACUGUAGAGGCAGGUGGAAUUCCCGGUGUAGCAGUGAAAUGCGUAGAGAUCGGGAGGAACACCAGUGGCGAAGGCGGCCUUCUGGACCAAUACUGACGCUCAUGCACGAAAGCGUGGGGAGCAAACAGG